ACGGAAGGCAGCAGUGGGGAAUAUUGCACAAUGGGGGAAACCCUGAUGCAGCGACGCCGCGUGAGUGAAGAAGUUUUUCGGAAUGUAAAGCUCUAUCAGCAGGGAAGAUAAUGACGGUACCUGACUAAGAAGCCCCGGCUAACUACGUGCCAGCAGCCGCGGUAAUACGUAGGGGGCAAGCGUUAUCCGGAUUUACUGGGUGUAAAGGGAGCGCAGACGGAACAGCAAGUCUGAGGUGAAAUCAUAGGGCUCAACCCUGUAACUGCCUUGGAAACUGUUGAUCUUGAGUACUGGAGGGGUAGGCGGAAUUCCUGGUGUAGCGGUGAAAUGCGUAGAUAUCAGGAAGAACACCGGUGGCGAAGGCGGCCUACUGGACAGUAACUGACGUUCAGGCUCGAAAGCGUGGGGAGCAAACAGGAUUAGAUACCCUGGUA
rnacentral:rRNA from 2 species